UACAAAAACACUGGGCUGUACCCCAAACAAAAGAGCGAGGGUAAACCUUGUUGACCGACACGGGACGAUACCUGUAACGCACAAUAUAUAUAAAGCACGCAGCAUAACAGCUGCACCAUCGCAUAGGUACUCACAUCACCAUCGCAUAGGUACUCACACCACCAACACAUAGGUACUCACACCACCAACACAUAGGUACUCACACCACCAACACAUAGGUACUCACACCACCAACACAGAGGUACUCACACCACCAACACAUAGGUACUCACACCACCAACACAGAGGUACUCACACCACCAACACAUAGGUACUCACACCACCAACACAUAGGUACUCACACCACCAACACAGAGGUACUCACACCACCAACACAUAGGUACUCACACCACCAACACAUAGGUACUCACACCACCAACACAGAGGUACUCACACCACCAACACAUAGGUACUCACACCACCAACACAUAGGUACUCACACCACCAACACAUAGGUACUCACACCACCAACACAGAGGUACUCACACCACCAACACAUAGGUACUCACACCACCAACACAUAGGUACUCACACCACCAACACAUAGGUACUCACACCACCAACACAUAGGUACUCACACCACCAACACAUAGGUACUCACACCACCAACACAUAGGUACUCACACCACCAACACAUAGGUACUCACACCACCAACACAGAGGUACUCACACCACCAACACAUAGGUACUCACACCACCAACACAUAGGUACUCACACCACCAACACAGAGGUACUCACACCACCAACACAUAGGUACUCACACCACCAACACAUAGGUACUCACACCACCAACACAGAGGUACUCACACCACCAACACAUAGGUACUCACACCACCAACACAGAGGUACUCACAUCAUCAACGCAUAGGUACUCACACCACCAACACAUAGGUACUCACACCACCAACACAGAGGUACUCACAUCAUCAACGCAUAGGUACUCACACCACCAACACAUAGGUACUCACACCACCAACACAUAGGUACUCACACCACCAACACAGAGGUACUCACAUCAUCAACGCAUAGGUACUCACACCACCAACACAUAGGUACUCACACCACCAACACAGAGGUACUCACACCACCAACACAUAGGUACUCACACCACCAACACAUAGGUACUCACACCACCAACACAUAGGUACUCACAUCACCAACACAGAGGUACUCACACCACCAACACAGAGGUACUCACACCACCAACACAUAGGUACUCACACCACCAACGCAUAGGUACUCACACCACCAACACAUAGGUACUCACA